rnacentral:lncRNA from 1 species
UUCACUGAUAAGGCUGUUCCUUCUUCAAGGCUGUUCCUUCUUCAGCAAUAUGGACAGGUUUACUCUUCCAGAGCCCAGGAAUUGGCACUAUUUUGUCACUUGUCCCUCCACCCUCCCUUCUUUAUCUUCUAGGACCUCCGAUACCUCCUCUUCAUUCUGCGUUGCUGAUAGCUUUUUCUCUAUGUCCAAGUGUUUAUUAGGAUUGAGUCCCAGAAGCCCAGAGAGAAUAUGGUAGAGGGGUGUGUGAGCUUGUCCAGAGUGGGCCACCUAAACAAAACCAGAAAAUCAUCCAUCAGGGAUUCCAAUUACAAAAACGGCUCACACACACACACACACACACACACACACACAAUCACUAAACAUUUGGAAACUACUGACAAAAUGAGGCAGAAAUGACAAAAUUACAGACUCAAUAAACUGGAAAACUUACAUCUGAGAAAAUAGUUAGCAGAUAAAUUGGAACAGGAUUUUUAAAUAAGUAUAAUUAAUAUCCUCGGAGAAAUAAGAAAAUGUUGCAUCUGAAAAAUCAGAACACAGGCCCUUCAUUCAUUCAUUUGUUAAUUCUGCCCCUACUGAUUGAGUUCCUGCUGUAUGCUAGGCAUAGUUAAGGCACUAGGAAAUCGAAAGUAAGUGAGGCAAAAUCCCAGUCUUCCUGGAGCUUAAAGCCUAGGCGGGAGAGAUAAAAACAUAACUAGUAAAACAAAUAAAUUUAUGUGUCAGGCGAUGUAUUGUAGAAGGAAAUAAGGUAGAGUCAGAGGUUUAAGAGGUGUAGGAAUUGAAGUAGGGGCAUCCAAUAUAUGUAGGGUGGUCCAAAAAGGCCUUAAAAAACUAAGAGAGUGGAUAAACCAAGUGGAUGUCAAGGGAGAGACCAUUUCAGAGACAAGGAACAGCAGGUGUCAAGGCCCUGAGUCAGGAGGAUGUCUCAACUUUUUGAGGAACAACCAAGAGACAACGGUGGUUGGAGGAGGGUGAGCAAGGGUGAGAGUUCCAGAGAAUAAAUCAGAGUAGAAGACAGGGCAAGGUAAGCCAUUUAUGGCUUUGAAGGAGUCUGGCUUUUAUGCUGAACAAAAGGGGGAGCCUAUGGGGGAUUUCAAACAAAGGAAUGAUAUAAUUGGAUUAAAUAUUCCAAAAGAGUAACCUGUACAAUAGGGCCUAAGGAAUGGAAACUAGGUGACCUAUUAGGAGACAGUAACCCAGAUAUGAAAUAAUGUUACUUGGACCAUUACCUCUCCAAGGUGGUGAGAAAUGGACAACUUCUGGAAUUCCUUUUAGAUGAUGCCAAGAAAUUUUGUUGAUAUAUAGGAUGGGAGGUGAGAGAGAAAGAGAGGAGUCAAGGGCAACCCUGAGGAUUUUGGCUUGGGCAUCUGGAAGAAUCGAGAAGGCUGGAGGGAAGGGAAGGCGAGUGAGAAGAUCAAGGGGAGGUGAUUAAAGGCAGAAUCAAGAGUUUGGGUUGGGACAUAUGUUUAAGAUGCUGGGAGACCUCCAAGUAGAGCUAUUCAGUGAGAAGCCUGGGGUUCAGGGAAAGAAUCAGAUUGGAAAUACAAAGUUAUGUGAUGGGGUAAGUUCCUCUAGGGAGUUAGUGUAAAUGAGGAGAGGAGAAGUCCCAGGACUGAGCCCUGGGAAAGACUAGUUUCCAAAAGCUGGGAAGGCGAGGAAGAACCAGCACAAAGACUGAGAUGGAGCAGCCAGUGAAAGUGAAGGAGGCUUCAAAGAGAGUGCUGCCACCAUAGCAAGCUGAAGAAAGCAUAUUAAGAAGCUGAAAAUGAUCCUUUGUGAGCAAUUCUGCUGAUAGAUGGGCCGGAAUGAGGAUGUUCAUUGAUCACUGGAGGCAGCAAUGUGGAGGACAUUGGUCCCUGUGAUAAGGGAAAAUUAGGUGGAUUCUGGGGGCGUGAGCCCAGCUGGAAUGAGUUCAGGAAAGAAUGGGGAGGGGGGUAGAGAUGACUUGUUAGUGUUUUACCAAGGGGCAGAUCAUGGGUCCAGUAGUUAGAGAAGAAUAUAGAGUUAAGAGAAACGGGGAUUUUUUUGUUUUGUUUUUAAACAGAGCAUAUCAUGUGUUGUUGAGAAUGAGAGAAAGAUUGUUGAUGCAGGAGAUAAGACAGUGCCUGCCAUAAUGCUCUUGCACAGGUUGUCAAGGUGGAAGGAAUUUGAGAAAGAACCAAUUAGAGAUCUUUUAAAUUAAAAAAAAAGUAAAUGUUAAAAAAAAAAAAAAAAAAAGGCCAGUCAAGGUGGUACAUGCCUGUAAUCCCAGCACUUUGGGAGGUGAAUCAGGUGGAUCACUACACUUCAGCCUGUGUGACACAGCAAGACUCCAUCUCAAACAAAACAAUAACAACAACAAAAAAGAAAAACCACCACUACCAGAACCUUAUUUUCUAAGUAGACUAGAAGAAUGAACAAAUACGAAGAGUGAGCAGGAAGGUCAGGCUGAUAGAUUCCCCCAGAAAAAGCAUACAGGAAUAAACAUGAGCGUUCUAAAAAACAAGUUGAUAUGUGGAGUUGAGGAGCCAGGAGAAGCAGGAGAAAAAUAGGGAGAAUGAAGGGGAUGACAUUUGUGGUCAUAAUGGCUGGAGUGUUUGUAGAGCUGAAUAAAGACAUGUGUCCUCAGAUUGAACAGGACCACCGGGUUCCACUCAGGGUUGAAAAAUCAUAGUAACAGAGUAGUAGUAGUAGUUGUUGUAGUCGUAGUAAAAACUUACACAUUGAAAUAUCACAGUGGCAUUUCGAGUUCUCAAGCAUAAAGACAAAAAUUGAAAAGCUGCCAGAGACAGGCUGUUAUGAGUUAGGUCACAAAGGGGCUCUGAGAUCAAGGAAAGAAUUUUAUUCCAAGAGCAAUAGAAGCCACUAGAGGAUCCUAAGAAGGGAGAAGGAUGGUGAUAAAAAUCUGACUUUUUACAGAUGUUUUAGGUUACUGAGGGAGAGUAGAUGAUGGCAAAAAGACUUGAUGGGGU